UAAAAGAUAAGCUAAAUUAAGCUAUUAGAUUCAUACUCUAAAAUUAGAAUAUUAUUCUUCUUUUUA
rnacentral:tRNA from 1 species